UGUGUGUGUUAUCUCAACGCAGCUGAGCUUAGCUUUUUGUAUCCAAUAUAUUUCAAUCUGCCAAUGUUUGUAACAAGCUCGAUUUAUUAGAUUAGAUAUUAUGAAUAAACAAACACUCAAAGAAAUUAUGAAACUUAUCUUUUCUGUUUCUCGAUUGACUUGACGAACCACGUAUUUCGUUUCAAAUCGGCCACUGAUUUUGCAUCCGCUACUUUCAACCUGGAUAGUAUCUG
rnacentral:lncRNA from 1 species